rnacentral:rRNA from 1 species
UACGUAGGGGGCAAGCGUUGUCCGGAUUUAUUGGGCGUAAAGAGCGUGUAGGCGGCCUGGUAGGUCAGCUGUGAAAACUCGAGGCUCAACCUCGAGACGCCGGUUGAAACCAUCAGGCUAGAGUCCGGAAGAGGAGAGUGGAAUUCCCGGUGUAGCGGUGAAAUGCGCAGAUAUCGGGAAGAACACCCGUGGCUAAGGCGGCUCUCUAGUACGGUACUGACGCUGAGACGCGAAAGCGUGGGGAGCAAACGGG